AAUAGACUAGUUAAUUACAUUUGUGGCUGUUUUGUUUGUAGUUUCAGGGCCUGAUUGCUAUCCUUGGAGGGGCUAUGUUUGGUUAACUAUUUGUGUGGCAGCUUGAUGAGUUUCUUUUUUUCUUUUCUGUCAUGGGAAUUGAACCUGGUUAACUAUAUUGGAUUACAUCAUGGGCUGGGUAUUAAGUUGCAGCACUGAAACACGUAUAAUUCUAUUGUGCUCUCAUGUCCAAAGACUAUGUUUGCUUCUGUUGGUGGCAUAUACUUUUGGGGGCUUGUUACUGAUGCAGUUUGGGUUUUUUGGUGGAUGAGAGUAUGAAUGAGUUGCAAACUCAUUUACAUGGUUUUUAAAUUUCUCCCGCAAAUGGUCACUUGUUGAUGCUCUUAAGUCAAAUACUUUGAUCUUUUGCCUAAGAAUAUGGACAUCCGUCAAAUUCGCGGUUGGAUGUAUAAUAGAAUCAUACCUAGCCAACGG